ACCCAUGGACAACCAAAAUCCCCUUGAAGAACCCAACGAUGCGUUGAGAUGCCACCACGACACCCAACACCCUUUUGACCCUACAACCCGUUGGACGCCCCCCGUCACCCGCAGCCCCCCAAAACCUUUUUGGGACCCCCAAAAACCCAAAUGGGGACCCCAAAACUUUUAUAGGGACCCCCCAAAAACUCAUGGACAACCAAGACACCCACCAAAAACUCAACAACACAUUGAGAUGCCACCACCACACCCAACACCCUAUAGACCCUACAACCCGUUGGACGCCCCCCACCACCCAUAGCCCCCCAAAACCCUAUGGGGACCCCAAAAACCCAAAUAGGGACCCCAAAAUAUUUAUAGGGACUCCCCAAAAACCCAUGGAGAACCAAAAUCCCCUUGAAGAACCCAACGAUGCGUUGAGUUGCCACCACGACACCCAACACCCUAUAGACCCUACAACCCGUUGGACGCCCCCCACCACCCGCAGCCCCCCAAAACCUUUUUGGGACCCCCAAAACCCUAAUAGGGACCCCAAAACUUUUAUAGGGACUCCCCAAAAACCCAUGGAGAACCAAGAUCCCCUUGAAGAACCCAACGAUGCGUUGAGAUGCCACCAUGACACCCAACACCCUUUUGACCCUACAACCCAUGGGACACCCCGUAGCACCCCAAACCCCCCCCAAAAAGCCCAAAAUCCUAAUAGGGACCCCAAAACUUUUAUAGGGACCCCCCAAAAACCCAUGGAGAACCAAGACACCCACCAAAAACUCAACAACACAUUGAGAUGCCACCACCACACCCAACACCCUAUAGACCCUACAACCCGUGGGACGCCCCCCACCACCCACAACCCCCCAAAAUCUUUUUGGGACCCCCAAAAAAACCCCAAAAGCCCACCCUGGAGGCGGGAGAUGAGCCAGGAGAGCUGUUUGCGGGAGAUGCCGGUCCAGCUGAGGUCCAGGCUGGCGGGCUGGCGCCGCACGAUCCCGCUCAGCAUCGACGGCGUCACCGCCGCCCGGCGGCUCAGGUCGAUGCGCGUCCACAGGCGGCGGUCGCAGCACCUGGGGGGGGCCCAAAAAUUUAGAGAAAAACCCCAAAUUCGGGCAAUCUGA
rnacentral:lncRNA from 1 species